CCCCUAGAUGUUCUGGGCCGCACGCGCGCUACACUGAACAGUUCAACAAGUCUUAACCUUGGCCGAUAGGUCUGGGUAAUCUUUGAACGCUGUUCGUGAUUGGGAUAGACCUUUGCAAUUAUGGGUCUUCAACGAGGAAUUCCUAGUAAACGCAAGUCAUCAGCUUGCAUUGAUUACGUCCCUGCCCUUUGUACACACCGCCCGUCGCACCUACAGAUUGAAUGGUCCGGUGAAAUCUCGGGACGGCGGCUUGGUCGCUUGCGUCCGACUGCUGAAACUUGAUUAAACCAUAUCAUUUAGAGGAAGGUGAAGUCGUAACA
rnacentral:rRNA from 1 species